CGCAAAAAAUAUGUAAAAGAAGAGUAAUAGCAUCUGAAAAUAAACUCUUGGGCCAAUCAGUGACGGAGUUAUAAAACCAACUACAUCUAACAUUGCGUACCAGCAUGCAAAAUGUUCAGCUCGUGAUGAUACCCUAACUGUUAUAAAAACUCAAAUUAUUGCCACACAGCAGUAUAAAUAACCUGGCGACGUGAGUGUGAGAUUCUCUUGCCACAGCAAAAACAAGCUCACCAACAUCUUUCCACUCAACUCUUCGCGCCCAAGAUGGUUUUCAGUGCGAACACCCGUCAAGAACGCGUCUCUGCACGGUUUGCGUGUGGAUAAAAUUAUGACAUUCCGUGUACAUGCUCGGGUCUCCGUUGCUUAAUCGGUGUUCAAAUAUUUAUCAUUCCACAAGGAAGGCCACAUUUUCUCGGUAUCCAGGGCUGCACAGUCUUCGAGACUCGUCAUGCCGGGAAAAGGAGUUAGUCAACACAGGCAACACCACACCAACACGCAUAAGCAACGACCAAACGUACCACGGUGAUGACGUUGAUGCAUUCAUACUGGCCCAUCCGUGGUACCAGUGAAUAGCGUUUGAUUCAUCUGUGUACAUUAAGUUUAUUUAACCUUCCCCGUCAACUACCAUUCCCCGGGGUUCUUGGGUGUGUUCUACAAACCUUUCUUCGGUUAACCCUGUUUCCUUCUUGAAUUCCACCAUUAAAAUGUUCUUUCGCUCGCUGUUACCGACCUUAAACCGUACCUAAGAUAUAGACAAUCAGUGCGAUUGUACAGAUAACCCUCAGUCAGAUAGAAAAACAUUCAUAUCUGCCCCGAUAUGGUUCUUGGAGCACAAACCGGCAACCCACUCGAGGCGGCAUUUUGUCGCCUGUGCAAACAGAUAAAAUCGCACAGCGGACAACCGGCAGCCCGGAGAGCCCGGAGCACCUCUAAGACGAAGUGUUAGUUUCGGGCUUGCGGUCACCCCCUCCCGCACGAGCCACCGGGGUGAUGCAGUAUGCGGGCACGAUAUUCAUUACAAUUUUCCCUGUCUACUUCCUGCGAGCGCCUAUCGGGGCCGGCGGCCCAGGUUUUUACAGUAUCAGAACAUCAGUUUUGAACUGCGCGUGUCAGUUCGAUUACGGCCAGAGGCGCACAUGGUAUGCGGAUCUGUUGAGAAAGUGUUUUGUGCGGUGCAUUUUGAUCUUAAGUUGCGCAUGAUGGCAUCGAGGAAUUGCAACUUGUCCCCGGAUUGGGCAGCGCGACAGCGAAGUGCAUGUGCAGUGUGUAAAGAAGAAAACAUAUCCACAGCUUGGUGACCAGUCGGGUAAUCUAGUGACGAAAAUGGUGUGUUCAAGCCAUGCCACCAGGCGAACGACUUUCAGAAGCCCCUUUCGUGUUUGCGUGUGAUUUAUGGUGGCUCGUCGUCAAGAAGUCGAACAAAUUGAAAUGUUAGGAUGGAAUGUUUUUUAAGCACUUCAAGCGGCUUGGAAAAAUUGGUUCACAAAUCGUGCUGCCCGAUCUGACGUACAAUAAAAUGCUGCUACUGCUCGAAUUGGUCUGACGGUUAGCCGAAGCGUUACUAGCAUUACUCUUGCCGUUACCAUCGCUAUUUUUGCUUCCCUUCGGUUUGCGCUUACGAGACUGCAAAGGAAAAUGGAUUCAGUGGACGGUUCACGUUGUGCAGUUUGUAGUACAGUCCACACGCAUUGCAGACUGGUUCACCGACUUGAUUGCGGCGCCACAGCGAAGUGUUGGUUGUGUUGCA